ACACUCCUACGGGAGGCAGCAGUGGGGAAUAUUGGACAAUGGGCGCAAGCCUGAUCCAGCCAUGCCGCGUGAGUGAUGAAGGCCUUAGGGUUGUAAAGCUCUUUCACCGGUGAAGAUAAUGACGGUAACCGGAGAAGAAGCCCCGGCUAACUUUGCGCCAGCAGCCGCGGUAAUACGAAGGGGGCUAGCGUUGUUCGGAUUUACUGGGCGUAAAGCGCACGUAGGCGGACUAUUAAGUCAGGGGUGAAAUCCCGGGGCUCAACCCCGGAGCUGCCUUUGAUACUGGUAGUCUUGAGUUCGGGAGAGGUGAGUGGAAUUCCGAGUGUAGAGGUGAAAUUCGUAGAUAUUCGGAGGAACACCAGUGGCGAAGGCGGCUCACUGGCUCGAUACUGACGCUGAGGUGCGAAAGCGUGGGGAGCAAACAGGAUUAGAAACCCCAGUAGUCCCAUGAU
rnacentral:rRNA from 1 species